rnacentral:lncRNA from 1 species
AUGAGGGCAGCCCCUCGCCUCUGCUCCAGGUCCCUGGGGACUGGGAGGGGCAGGAGCCUAGGGAUGGGAGAAAGCGGGGUUAGGACAGGAAGAAGGCGAAGGCACAGAAGUAGAUUUUCUUGGGAGUGGGAGGGGGUCAGGGCUCCCCACAUUAAGUUCUCUGUCCAGGGUCUGCAGAUAGGGGCGCGGGGUGUGGGCGUUGGGAGAAGACACCUGCGGGAUACGAGAGCUGGGGGCAGUAGCUGCAGCUUGAGAUGGGUCGUGCUGCGUCGUAGCUUGUUUAUCGCGUCCUUAAAGCGAGAUGCGCCCUUGCGGGGUCUCCCGGGAGCUGGAACCCAGGAGAACGCACAGAGCGAGAGCAGAGGCAGCCUUGACCUUGCGGCUCUCAGAGGGCGGUCGCUUUGGCUACUUCUGAGAAAGGGUCUGAGACCAGGGCCUCUCCAGGGUCACCUCUGCUUUCCCGGGUGCCCACUCCUACCCCCAAGAAUCUCUUAGGCUUCUCUGGGUUCUAGAUAUCUGAGGUAUGUCUCUGUUUAUAUGUAUGAAUUUCUAUGCGUGGCUCUCUCUCUCUCUCUCUCUCUCUCUCUCUCUCUCUCUCUCUCUCUCUCUCUCUCUCUCUCUCUCUCUCUCCCCUCCCCAUCUCUUCCCUACUCCCCCCUUGCCUAGAGUGGGAGACUAACAUUAGAAAAGUGUCUGUGGGUGAGACAGGUGGGAGUAGGUUUUGACAGGACCCUAGGGAACUGUCAUCCUUUGGUGUCUUGAAUUUGGGAACAGACUCGAUCCAACCAGAUCCUUGGCACCUUUUGGUUCUUAGGAAACCUCAACUCUGCAUGGCUAGGAUAGGAUCUAACCCUAAUUUCUCUCAAGGGGUCACUAUAGAGCAUCACUAGACUUCUCUUCCCAACCAGGAGCAGCUAGGGCCAACAAGAUCCCAGCCAAGCAGGCUUGGGUGGUUGGAUUUUUUUGGCUCUUCUGGCCAGCCCUGACCCUUCAGCUCAUACCCAAGGAGAAAGGGCCAGAGCUGAAUCUAUUUUGAGUUGUGUCCUUAUCUGGACAACACAUUGUCACUCAGGUCAUGAGCUCCCAAUAUUUCUUUGGGGGUGGUGGUGAUGAUGGUGCUGGAGGAGAGAAAAAAUGGCUCCCUUUCCAGAAGAGUCUUGAAUUAAAGAGGUGUGUGUGUGUGUGUGUGUGUGUGUGUGUGUGUGUGUGUGUGUGUGUGUGUGUAAUUGAUGGGAGGAGAGGACAGCAGCCCUGGAUAUGCCAUCAGAGAAAGUGUGUGUGUGUGUGUGUGUGUGUGUGUGUGUGUGUGUGUGUGUGUGUGUGUGUGUGUGUGUGUGUGUGUAUCAGAUGGAGGUAAAGUCUAAUUUAGCUGUAUGGGAGGAAGGCAGAACCUAAUCCUGUUCCUGGAACUGUUGGCCUGUUCUCCCUUGAGCACCUGACCAAUNCCUUUUCUCUCUUUUUUUUCCUUAUCCCCUCUUCCUCCCCCAUCCUCUCC